AGCGCUUUGGUGUAACGGAAACACAAUUGCCUCAUGAGCAGUUAUUCUCAGUUCAAUUCUGGGGAGCGCCU
rnacentral:tRNA from 1 species